GACGGAGGAUGCAAGUGUUAUCCGGAAUCACUGGGCGUAAAGCGUCUGUAGGUGGUUCGAAAAGUCCACUGUUAAAAAUUGAGGCUUAACUUCAAAGAUGCCGUGGAAACUUUCAAACUAGAGUAUGGUAGGGGUAGAGGGAAUUUCCAGUGGAGCGGUGAAAUGCGUAGAUAUUGGAAAGACCACCGAUGGCGAAGGCAGCUCGCUGGGACGGUACUGACGCUGAGACGCGAAAGCGUGGGGAGCAAACAGG
rnacentral:rRNA from 1 species